rnacentral:rRNA from 1 species
GACGAACCGUGCGAACGUUGUUCGGAUUCACUGGGCUUAAAGGGCGCGUAGGCGGACGGUCAAGUCAGGGGUGAAAUCUUUCAGCUCAACUGGAAAAGUGCCUUUGAUACUGAUCGUCUCGAGGGAGGUAGGGGCAUGUGGAACUUCCGGUGGAGCGGUGAAAUGCGUAGAUAUCAGGAGGAACACCGGUGGCGAAGGCGGGUCUCUGGGCCGAUACUGACGCUGAGGAGCGAAAGCGUGGGGAGCGAACAGG